rnacentral:rRNA from 1 species
GCGAGGUGGAGCUAAUCCCAUAAAACUAUUCUCAGUUCGGAUUGUAGGCUGCAACUCGCCUACAUGAAGCCGGAAUCGCUAGUAAUCGUGGAUCAGCAUGCCACGGUGAAUACGUUCCCGGGCCUUGUACACACCGCCCGUCACACCACGAGAGUUUGUAACACCCGAAGUCGGUAGGGUAACCUUUAUGGAGCCAGCCGCCGAAGGUGGGACAGAUAAUUGGGGUGAAGUCGUAACAAGGUAGCCGUAUCGGAAGGUGCGGCUGGAUCACCUCCUUUCUAAGGAA